AACACGUAAUGCAACCUGCCUCCAACACGGGGAUAGCCCGGCGAAAAGUUGGAUUAAUACCCGAUAAUACAGGACGCCGCAUGGCGAUAUUUGUUAAAGAUUUAUCGGGUGGGAGAUGGGCAUGCGCAGGAUUAGGCAGUUGGCGGGGUAACGGCCCACCAAACCGACGAUCCUUAGGGGAACUGAGAGGUUAGUCCCCCACACUGGUACUGAGACACGGACCAGACUCCUACGGGAGGCAGCAGUGAGGAAUAUUGGUCAAUGGUCGAGAGACUGAACCAGCCAAAUCGCGUGAAGGAAGAAUGUCCUAUGGAUUGUAAACUUCUUUUGUCGGGGGGUAAAAUGCGGCACGUGUGCUGUAUUGCAAGUACCCGACGAAUAAGCAUCGGCUAACUCCGUGCCAGCAGCCGCGGUAAUACGGAGGAUGCGAGCGUUAUCCGGAUUUAUUGGGUUUAAAGGGUGCGUAGGUGGGCUGUUAAGUCAGCGGUGAAAUCUCGAUGCUCAACAUUGAAAUUGCCGCUGAAACUGUCGGUCUUGAGAGUAAAUGAAGCAGGCGGAAUGUGAGGUGUAGCGGUGAAAUGCAUAGAUAUCUCACAGAACCCCGAUUGCGCAGGCAGCUUGCUAAGCUACAUCUGACGCUGAAGCACGAAAGCGUGGGGAUCAAACAGGAUUAGAUACCCUGGUAGUCCACGCAGUAAACGAUGAUUACUCGCUGUUUGCGAUAUACCGUAAGCGGCCAAGCGAAAGCGCUAAGUAAUCCACCUGGGGAGUACGCCGGCAACGGUGAAACUCAAAGGAAUUGACGGGGGCCCGCACAAGCGGAGGAACAUGUGGUUUAAUUCGAUGAUACGCGAGGAACCUUACCCGGGCUUGAAAUGUACACGCAUACAGAUGAAAGUUUGUAGCCAGCAAUGGCGAGUAUGUAGGUGCUGCAUGGUUGUCGUCAGCUCGUGCCGUGAGGUGUCGGCUUAAGUGCCAUAACGAGCGCAACCCCUAUUGACAGUUACUAACAGUUAAAGCUGAGGACUCUGUUGAGACUGCCGCCGUAAGGUGCGAGGAAGGCGGGGAUGACGUCAAAUCAGCACGGCCCUUACGUCCGGGGCGACACACGUGUUACAAUGGGAGGUACAGAGGGAAGCGACCUGGCGACAGGGAGCCAAUCUCAGAAAGCCUCUCCCAGUUCGGAUCGGAGUCUGCAACUCGACUCCGUGAAGCUGGAUUCGCUAGUAAUCGCGCAUCAGCCAUGGCGCGGUGAAUACGUUCCCGGGCCUUGUACACACCGCCCGUCAAGCCAUGGAAGCUAGGGGAACCUGAAGUACGUAACCGCAAGGAUCGUCCUAAGGUAAAACUGGUAACUGGGGCUAAGUCGUAACAAGGUAACC
rnacentral:rRNA from 1 species